rnacentral:rRNA from 1 species
AACGGCGGCCGUAACUAUAACGGUCCUAAGGUAGCGAAAUUCCUUGUCAGGUAAGUUCUGACCCGCACGAAUGGCGUAAUGAUUUGGGCACUGUCUCGACAGCCCGCCCGGCGAAAUUGUAGUACUGGUGAAGAUGCCAGUUACCCGCAACUAGACGGAAAGACCCCAUGGAGCUUUACUGCAGUUUAAUACUGGGAAUCGGUAAUGCAUGUACAGGAUAGGUGGGAGACUAGGAAGCAUGGUCGUCAGGUCAUGUGGAGUCACCGGUGGGAUACCACUCUUGUAUUGCUGAUUUCCUAACCUGCGGCCGUGAAUCCGGUCGGGGGACACUGUUAGACGGGCAGUUUGACUGGGGCGGUCGCCUCCAAAAGAGUAACGGAGGCGCUCAAAGGUUCGUUCAGCACGGACGGAAAUCGUGCAUUGAGUGUAAACGCAUAAACGAGCCUAACUGCGAGACCGACGGGUCGAGCAGUAACGAAAGUUGGAGUUAGUGAUCCGGUGGUAUGUGAGUGGAAAUGCCAUCGCUCAACGGAUAAAAGCUACCCUGGGGAUAACAGGCUGAUCUCCCCCAAGCGUCCACAGCGACGGGGAGGUUUGGCACCUCGAUGUCGGCUCGUCGCAUCCUGGGGCUGUAUUCGGUCCCAAGGGUUUGGCUGUUCGCCAAUUAAAGCGGCACGCGAGCUGGGUUCAGAACGUCGUGAGACAGUUCGGUCCCUAUCCGUCGCGGGCGUAGGAAAUUUGAGAGGAUCUGCUCCUAGUACGAGAGGACCAGAGUGGACUUACCGCUGGUGUACCAGUUGUUCUGCCAAGAGCAUCGCUGGGUAGCUAUGUAGGGAAGGGAUAAACGCUGAAAGCAUCUAAGUGUGAAGCCCACCUCAAGAUGAGAUUUCCCAUGAUUUUAUAUCAGUAAGAGCCCUGAGAGAUGAUCAGGUUGAUAGGUUAGAAGUGGAAGUGUGGUGACACAUGUAGCGGACUAAUACUAAUAGCUCGAGGACUUAUCCAA